UUUAUGAUCAAUUUACGAGCAGGGUGAGCUGGCGUGUUUAUUUGCACACGAUCUAGUAGCUCACCAUUAGUGGGCUCUUCCCAGCAAAUGCAUUUGUGCCCUGGAUGGUGGCAAUUCAAACAGUACCAACACCACAACACUAAAAGAGUAAAAGGCAAAAGUGCUAGUCCAACCCACAGAGGAUCAAAUGAGAAAGACAACAUUGCAGUGUUCCACAAACCCUUUUGCCUCUAAAACAAGGCUUUCAUCAUCUCUGCUUACUCCAGAGAACCUUAUUGUCCCAUUAGGGAAAUUUUUAUAAUCCCUAUUCCCCGGGAGCUUUAUGGUCCCUUAUUCAGAAACUAAUUGCCCCUUCUGGGAACUUACCGAAGUCGCAGUCCUGAGGCUGAAAAGUUCUGAACCCACACGAGAAAAGAGAAUUUUCUCAGGUCUCCGUACAUGGCCACCAGUUGAAGUGCCCACCUUGACUAUCAAGGAAGACACGACACCGUUGGUUUCUUCUCAACAGCCUUUAUUGCAGGAACACCUCAUUCUUGAUACGGGGACCCCGGGGAACAAGGGAUUGGUGGAGUAUGAGAUACCUUAUUAGCACGAAUAUCACCCUGGCCUUGUAAAUGCCAGAGGAAGGCCAGGGACACGGCUAUAAUGGUUGUAUACCACAAAUGACCACUAGAUGUCAGUGCCAUCUUUAGCUGCUCCCAACAGAGGACAACCUGAUGCUCCCUUAGAGAUAAGGGGAUGAGGGGGUGUUAACACAACUCUAAACAUCCAACAGGAAGUGGGGCUCAAGGAGGUUUACAAAGAUCAUCACAGCUUUUCUAAACGUUUGCUCACCACCAGGCUGCCUGCCCUGAAGAGAAGCAGGAAAUUCUGCCCAAGUGUAAGGUUUCUGGGGCUCUCCACAAUUGAAAAGCAAGCUUCAUGUUCUGGGAUGGGAGCAUCUGAAGACUAUCUCAAGGCUGUUGAGAAGAAUCCAACGGUGUUGCAUCUUCCUUGCUGGCCAUGGUGGGCGUGGCAACUGGUGGCCCAUACGGCGACCUGAGGACAUCCUCGUGGAUUCAGAACUCUGCAGAUCAGGACAGCGACCUCGGUAAGCUCCCAGAUAAGGGACAAUAAAGCUCCCGGUUAAGGGACAAUAAAGCUCCUGGGUAAGGGACAAUAAAGCUCCUGGGUAAGGGACAAUCAAGUUCUCUGGAGAUGAGCAGAGAUGAUGAAAGCCUCAUUGUAGAGGCCAAGUGAUAAGGGGGACACAAGGUAGAGCAAUGCUUUUCUCCCCGGUUGACCCUUUGUGGAUAAGACUUAUAAUUUUGUUUCUUUUCUUCUUUGUGUGGUGGAUUUGCUUUCUUUUGAAUUGCUACCGUCCUGGACGUGAGUGCAUUUGCUGGGAAUAGCCAACAAGUGCCAGGCUACAAAGUCAUGUGUAAACAAACACGCCAGCCCACCCUGCUCGUAAAACCACUCGUAAAUAAAAAAGUUCCCCAGUUAAUGUGGGACAAUUCAAGUCCACGGUAGUAAGCAGUGAUAAGGCCUCCAGGCAUGGAGCAAGUGUAGUGAGUAGGAAAUUUAAUUUUAUGGACCCCGCUCUAGUGGCGGUGUGUUGGUUGAUAGCCAACGUUAUUUUUUUUUGAAGCAUAGUGUUUUAUCUGUGCUUGUGCUCGCAGCCCACACAGUAGGAGGGAGCGAAACUAGCUGUGGAGCCGCUGCAGCGAGCAUGGGGACUUAUCAGUCUCACCCAAUUUUUCUGGCUCUUCAAGAGCUGUUUGAAAGAAAAAGGCUUAGGAUGAAAAGAAGCACUAUAGAGAGAUUUCUUAGUGAAUGCGAUGCCAUUGCACCUUGGUUCGCUGUCUCUGGGAAUCUCAUGGUGGACAGCUGGGAUAAGCUGGAGAAGGAUUUAGAUUUUGCUUGGGAGCAAGGAACCUUGAAGGUGGGGGUUCGGCCAGUAUGGCGCUUAGUGCAUAGCUGCCUAGAAGAUCAGAAAUGCUGUCAGCAGGCUAUAGAAAAGGGACAGGCUGUGUUAGAAAUGCUACAGGAGGAACGAUCUGAAAAGACUGAGAGUGAGGCGGGGGAGGACUCUAAGGAAAACAAGAACAAGAAAGGAGUUUAUCCAUCCCUCAAAGAACAAGGUCAGAAAAAAAAUUCCAGUUGCUGCCUUUAGUGGCCUGACCUUCAACAUUUGCUCACAGAAGGAGAGCAUUCAUUAAGAGAAGUUCUUUAAGGGAGCCUACCUUAUCUGUUGGCCUUAUUCCAAGAGAGGAGUUGUACUCCAACAUUAAGUUACUUUUCCCGUUGGUCAUCAUUGACAUGUAGAGUGCCUUUGAUCCUAUCCCCUCAGCAGCCAGUUCCUGCUCCUAUGGUCAAAAUGCCCCAGGUUUGGGGACAGGGGAGCCCCUGAAGUAGUUUCAGAAAAAGUCUGCAAUAGACUGUGAGUAACUUUGUUUUGCCAGACAGAACAGGCUUUACUCCAGGAUGAUGAGAGGAGAAAGUCUUGGCACCGGCUCUUCAGCUGACUCCAACUGGAGGCUGUGGCCAAGGACAAGAUUAAUGUUUUCUUUUCCAUGGGCCUUUAGCCCACUGAGACAGUUUGAUAAAGGGCUGCUACUGAGGUCCUGAAAGUCCCAGGUGAACUGGUUACAAUUCUUUUGUCAGCCACUUGGCAUCUAACACCCAGGUCUACCGCCAGGCUCCAAGGAUGGGUCUCUGAAGGGCUGGAAAAUGCCCCACCAAUCUGGCUAAGGUUAUUUUGCUUUCAGUUAAAGAUUGUAGCACCCUAGAAAUGGCCUAUGCUAAAGUGGUUAAGGUGCUUGAAAACAAUCAAUUGUUCAUAGCACCAGAAAAGGUUCAAAUGGGCAAAAAAGGGGAGUAUUUAGGAACAAAGAUUACUCCUCAUAGUAUUUCCCCUCAGAAAAUUGAAUUACAAAAAGAUCAUUUAAAAACAUUAAAUGACUUUCAGAAAUUACCCCGAAGCAUAAAUUGGAUUCGACCCUAUAUUAAAAUGCCCAAUGUAGAGUUACAACCACUCUAUGAAAUCCUGAAAGGGGAUUCUCAGCUUACUUCACCCUGUGCUUUAACCAAGGAAGCACGAUUAUCCUUAAGGAAAGUAGAAGGAAGACUGGAAAAGGCAAUGCUAAGAAGGUACAAGGAAAAGGAGGAUCUGCUUUGUGUAUACUGAGAACCUUUCGUCCGCCUACAGGAGUGCUAUGGCAACAAGGACCACUUCUUUGGAUUUAUCCCCAUAUUUCUCCUAAUAAGACCCUUGAAUAUUAUGUCCUAACUGAUGAAUGUGUGGCCCAGAUCCCGUGAUUUCGAGAUCUAGGGGAGCUGUUUGUGUUUUUCCACAGAAUCAAGACAAUCCAAUUUGGGUGCCUGAGCGUUUGACUCACAAACUGCCUCCUGCUACUCCUGACAAUGGAACUACGCACUCUAUUAUUGCUGGGAAUGGUAAUACAGGUUGAUUCACUCACGCUGUGGGCUAUUGCCAGAUCCUGGCCAGUACUUAUGCCAGUUCAUAACAAUUCUACUGUUUUGCCAACCUUUUUCUCCAUAUCCUGUUUGCAUGAUGUUCCUUGUAUAGUGCCAAAUGGAGAAUGACCCCAACGGUAUACUGCCACUAAUCUUUCUUUGUUACAUACAUUAUGUUUCACUCUUAAAAAUUCCUCCCAGCAGAUGGGGGCUGGAGAGAUGGCUCAGUGGUUAAGAGCACCGACUGCUCUUCCUGAGGUCCUGAGUUCAAAUCCCAGCAACCACAUGGUGGCUCACAACCAUCCGUAAUGAGAUCUGAUGCCCUCUUCUGGUGUGUCUGAAGGCAGCUACAGUGUACUCAUAUACAGUAAAAUAAAAUCUUUAAAAAAAAAUUCCUCCCAGCCUUGUAUAUGGCUUCGAAGGACAACAUUGACUAAUUGGUUAGAUCCUAUGAGCAGUAGUGCUAUGGGCGCUGGUGCCAUCCUGGCUGCUUUGAGUCAAGUUACCCAAGGAGCCUCUUCAGGCAGUGGAGACACAUCAGUCAAUAAUUCUGCUGAGUUGAACAUUACAACUUUGAUUAUGAUGCAUAAUUGUAGUUUUCCUUCAUGCCCGGGGCAAGGCAGUCACACACUGGAUAACUCUACCUGUCAUAGAGUCCUACCUACUUGCCCCCCCAUAUCAAGAGUUUCCACCUGAUUUUACCCCAUGUCAGAGUCCAUUCCAUAGAGCAAAACAAUUCCUACCGGGAUUUGAAUUUUCCCUUCCUCUUGGCCAUGUACAGUAUGAUCGGAGGGAAAAUAAGACUGGCAAGCAUAAUUUUUGGCCUUGGUAUCAAUGGGUAUUAUCAAAUGAGCAGGGAGCAUACACAUCUCUAAUUCCUUUUGCCCGAUUAUUAGGUGAAGAAUUUACAUUGUAUAAUAUUUCAGCCACUAGAACAAAUAACAAACCAGUUUAGUAAAUGUAAAGAUUAAUGUCCUUUUAGCAAAUGAUACUGCCGUUGGUGCUUCAGUAUGUGUUAGACCACCUUUCUUUUUUCUGAUAAGCACUAAUGUAAGCGAUGAUGCUUUAAAUUAUAAUAACUCUGAUGUAGUCUGCUAUUUAGCUGAAUGCUGGAAUGGCACCAAUGAUACCUCAGUGAUGGUCAAAAUUCCCUCCUUUGUGCCAAUCCCAGUAGAGGCCAACCCAGAUAGCUUUCCUAUUCUUAAUUUGCUAAGAACCAGAAGGGAUUUUGGAAUUACGGCAGUCAUAAUUUCAGCUAUUGUGCUGUCUGCUGCUGCAGCUACCACAGCUGCAAUUGCUAUGACUAAUCAAGUACAGACGGCUGAGACUAUCAAUCAGAUUGUGGAAAGAACCGCAAUGGCACUAGAGAUACAAGAAGAAUUUAAUACCCACUUGGCAUCUGGCUUUCUGUUAGCUAAUCAAUGGAUAGAUUUAAUCCAAGAACAAAUUAAAGCACUAUAUCAUAUGACACAGCUGUCCUGCAUUUCCUCCCUUAGAGGUUUAUGCAUUACUCCUUUGCAAGCUAAUUUUUCUCAGUAUUCUCAACAGAGCAAAGAAAUCUCGAAUUAUCUGAAAGGAAACUGGUCCAUGAAAGCAGAGCAACUAUCGAGACAAUUGCUGAUGCAGAUUGCUGUCCUUAACAACACUAGAUUGGAACCUAUCACGUUUGGAGAUUUCACCUCAUGGAUUACCCAUGCUUUCUCCUUUUUUAAAGAAUGGACUGGCAUGUUUACCUGGGGGGGGCAUUGUCCUCUUGGGAUUCGGAGUAUGUCUCUGGCUCUUCUGCUGUUUAAAAAGAGAGCAUGCCUGACACAAAGCGAUUGUUUACCAGGCUAUGGUCGCCAUUGAAAAUGGUGCUUCUCUCAACAUAUGGCUGGCCUCUUUGAAAAAUUAAGAGUUCGCCCUAGAUCAUUUUUGUCACUAUCAAGUGAAAUCAUUGUAUCCAGAGAUGGGCAACUUUCCUUGGGCUUGGACCAACCUAAGACAAGGGGCCCAGUGGCGAUAGGGUAACCCUAUGACUGGUAAGGCUGAAUCGCCAAGAGGAAUGACCUAAGACAGGAGCAAUGACAAUAUUGACGUGACACCCUGAUCUAGACUAGUCAUAGACAGAGGUGGUUACACCCCGUUUAAACAUACGGGCUGGUCAAAUGCUCCUCUGCCCAGUUUCUCCCCCAAUAAAAACACAGGUAUAGCCCAGAACAGUGUGUUACACCAUAAGUUCAUUUCUCGCCAUUGGGGUGCAGUCCUAACUUCAAGAGUGGCUUGCCAUGGCCGAGCUGGGCACUCUGUGUGACAUGUCUGAUCUCUCUCAGACCACUACUUCCACCUAGUGGCUUUUUUAUAAAACAAAAAAGGGGGGCUUGUAGGGAGCUGCACAUAUAGAUAAAAAGAUGGUGAUGACAUCCGGUGGUCAUUUGUGGUAAACAACCUUACAGCGCAUGUGUUGGCAUACCUCCAGCAUCUACAAGGCCAGGGUGAUAUUCAUGCUAAUGAGGUAUUUCAUGCUCCACCAAUCCCUAGAGGACAAAUAUACAGCCAUAGCCUGUUUUUGUAUAUAAGGCUAGUGCCUUUGUUGCUAGGGGUCCCCAUACCAACAAUGAGGUGUUCCUGCAAUAAAGGCUGUUGAGAAGAAUCCGACUGUGUUGCAUCUUCCUUGCUGGCCGAGGUGGGCGUGGCAGGAAGGAAGGAAGGUAGGAAGGAAGGACAGAAAGAAGGAAAGAAGGAAGCUACAUGACUAGAAUAUUUGUUCCUUCAAUGGAAUUUUGAAUCCAAAUACAUUUGUAUAAAAAUUCUUUAUAUCAUCUUAGUAUCUAACAUUCAGAUUUUAUUUUUAAGCCAUGUUACGAAGUGCUGCAUUUUUAAAUAUCUCAGGAAUACGCUUCAAUUUGAAAUAAAUUGUUUCUAUUAUCACCCAAAUAAAAAUUAGAAUGUUUUAUGCUGGGCUUUAUAGCAUAUGCUUUUAGGCCCAGCAUUCAGGAGGAGAAUCAGGCACAUGGAUCUCUAUGAAUUCUGAGCUACAUAGCAAGUUUGAGGCAAGCCAGGGCUGAAGAGUGAAACCCAGUCUCAAAAAAACAAAACAAACACAUUUCAUGAUAUAACACUCAUCUUUCUUUAUGGCAGGUGUCAUUAUUGUUUCAAUAUUUUCCUGUUCUACUGAAAAAAUUUAGGUCUCAACCACAAUAUUAGUUUUACAGCAAGUUUUAUGUUUUAAAAAGCCAGCAAUAUGUAGUCCUCAAAUGUGAGUUCUUUGGAAGCAGAAGCAGGCAGAUCACAGCAAGUUCAAAGACAAUUCCAGCUAGUCUCUAGUCGGUCAGAGCUACAUAGAAUCAAACAAGAGUGUCUAGUGUUCUAGUGGGGUAUUUUUCUAUGGUCUGAGAACCUUCUAGAUGAGUACCCUGUAAUUAGAAUAUUUAGAGUUGGUAGAAGGUCACAUACUCAAGAUAUAUAGUUUAAUAACCAAAAUGCUAACAAAAACUAAGUGGUACUUAGGAGAUUGCUUGGAGACCACCUAGAGUAAGAGCUGCUGGCUGCUCCAACCAGAGAGUAAAAUAACACAAAAAUAAUUGGAUAGAAACAGGGCCUGCUAGUGACACCAUGACACAACCAACGACACCACAAUACCACCCACGACACCAGGACUGAGAAAAUGGUGCGCUCAGAGUGCUUGGAGGCAAACUGAGUGAGGAUCCCUGGAGGCUUAGGAGUAUGUGCUGAAUGUGAGUGCUGGGACCUGAACCCAGUUCCACUAGAAGUAGGUAAGCAUUGCUGGUUUUCUUGUGGAUAGAGAUGAAUGUAUGCAUGCCUGUUGGUGCAGUAACCCAGCUGAAUGUAUUGCUUUUCAUGCUGAAGGCUGGAAUUCUGUCUCAUCUCAUUUUAUUUAGAGAUAAUCCCAUAUGAACCAAUGCAGUAUUGAUAUAAGGGAAUCUGAUUACACUAAUUCCAUUAUUAAAAAUAUACAUUUCAGGGCUGGAGAGAUGGUUCAGUGGCUAAGAACCUUGGCUGUUCUUCCAGAGGACCCCUGUUCAAUUCACAGCAACCACAAGGCAGCCCAUAACUGUCUGUAACUGCUGUUCCAGGGGAUCCCACACCCUCACAAAGACAAAACAUCAUUACCUAGGAAACAAACAUAGACAAGUUUUAAAAAAAUCAGCCAAGAAUUUGUGGUGCAUGCCUUUAAUCACAGCACUAAAGGGACAGAGUCUGGCAGAUCACUGAGUUUGAGGCCAGCCUGGUCUACAUAAGCGGCUUCCAGGACAGCCAGGAUUACACAUAAUGCUCAAACAAACAAACAAACAAACAAAUCCUCAAAAACACACAUUUCAGAACAAAACAGGCUCUUCAUACCCUUUGUAGAUUGAUAUUCUCACUGUUUCAUUUUAGCCCCUGUACUUUCAAUGGCUUCCCAUAGAUGGUCUAUGUGUGGGGUAGGCUGGGACUACCACAAGUUCAAAAACCAGACAGAUGUCUCUUCCCAGUAUUUGCUGUCUCCAUCAAAGAAAGACGUCAAAAGUAAGACAAAGUAAGGAGUUUAGGUGAAGAUUAUUACAGGACAAAGGCUUCUAUCUACUCCAGAGUGGAUCAGGUUCCUAAUUUGGGGAGCAGUGAGGUGUUUCAAGCCAGGACUUCCCCAUGUAACUUGGCUGUCCUGGUACUUGCUCUGUAGACCAGGCUAGCCUUGAAUUUAUAGAGACCAGACUGCCUCUGUCUCCCAAGUACUGUGAUUAAAGUUAUGCACCACCCCCACCCCACCCCACCCUUGGCUGUUUCAGGUUUCUUGAAUGAGUUGCAUCUAGGAAUUAUGGGUUGCUCACCUUAUGGGAAAACUUUAAUAUCAGAAAUUUUGAGUUGAAGUGAAGGAAAGAUGGGAAAUCCAGGAAUGGGUUUAGAAUUUUCCAAAAUAGGGUUCAGUUCCUUUUCCUACACUAUUGGGGUCGGUGAUUCUGAUGUGCCAUGUUGUCAGGUGCAUGAUGGGAAGUGCAAAUCGAAAGGGCAAAGGAUAUGCACGUAGACGUUUAAUAAAGCAGAAGAUUGACAGUCACCUUAGUUGGUCUUGCUGGUCCCAGCAGGUCUGAGUGGUCUAAGUGUAAUAUGGUAACUACAUCAGAGUCAGUUUGCAGUUUGUCCCUUGCUUUUACCAGCACUGAUCUAUCUGACUGUGUCAGUUUGGCAUUUGAAUUUCAAAGAUCCUACAGUAAUGUUGCUCCAAAUAACAGACAGUGAGUAAACUCUCAGUGAGGUGGAGCUGAGCAUGCAGACUCCGUGUAGAGCAAACCAUGUCUGAUGCCGGCAUGUAUCAGUUUCAGGAUAUUGCUGCUUGAGUGUUAGAGCAUGCGAACCUUGAAACCACUUAUGACUUUGAUGUUGAGUGGGAAAGAAUGUUCAAAGUAGGCAGAUUUUAAAUCGGGAAAGAAUCAAUGAAAGUCUUGGAAAAUGGUUUUGAUAGACUCAUCUGAUUUCUUAGUAUGGAAAUGUAGCAAACACAGCAUUUAAGGCACGUUUGUGUGAGCACAGUCUGGGGCAGACCUUUCUUUAUUCCCAAGGAACCCAUACAGUGGGAAGAGCACAUCCUCAGGGAAGCACUGCAAAAGCAUUGAUCUCUUUAUGCAGGAAGAAGACUGUACUCACUUUCCUGUGUUUGACAGCACAUUUGUGUCCUAUUCAGGGAACAGAGAUGGUAUUUGGCAAAGUUGUUUGACCAAGCACAAGGUAAAUAAUAGUCAUUUGGGGAGUUGUUUCUUAAAAUUUGCUCCUUGCUGCAAAAGAUUAGAUAUCUACAGUAGAACAUUUUAAUUACAUAGAGUAAAACUACAAAAGUGUGUCAUUAAGAAUGAAUACUGCUGAGCCGUGUCCUCUGAGCUUGCUUCAUACUUUUAAAUUGAUUUGCGUUCGUAAUGAUUCUGUUUUCUCGCUGUGUGUAUUUUUGCACACAGAGUCCAGAAGAGCUCAUCAGAUCUUCUUGGACUAGAGUUAAGAAAGUUGUGAGUUGCGUGUAGGUGCUGGGAACUGAACCUGGGUCCUCUGGAAGAGCAGCAAGCGCUCUUACCUGCUAGGCCAUCAGCAGCUGCAACCUGCUUUCAUUUUGUUUUGUUUUGUUCUUUUGUCCUGGGUGCUUGGAUUACAGUCAGCAGCCACCAUGUCCUGCUUUAAAAUGACCUCUUUUACAAGAAAUGUAGUUAUUCCCAAUUUGAGCUUUCAUCUUACCUUUUGUUUCUUAAGAUUUAUUAACUAUUAUUUCAUGUGCGUGUGCUUUAGUGUAUGUUUGUGUGCCCUGUCCAUUGAAUCUGGAGCUUAGUGACUGAUAGGUUGGCUGACGGUUUCUCUGCCCAAUCCUGGGCCUCCAGGCCUUGCUACCAUGUCUGGUUUCUCACAUAAUUGCUAAGGAUCCUAUCUCAAGUCCCCAUCGAUAUGGAACAAGUACUUUAAUCCACUGAUGGCCAGCAAUGUGCUGGUUUUUCAUGCCCAGUAAUGAUCACUGCCCAGAGCAAUAUGGCCUGAAUGAAACUUCAUAUGGACUAUUUCAGAAGGACAAAGGAUUGAUUCUGUUGCAGAGGUUCCUGUCAACCUUCUGGGAGCCUGGAAAUGAUAACUGUAACAUCAUGAUUAUAAUGUCAGGCACACUUUGCUCUUCCAAAGACUCCAUUGCCUUUAGUGAAGGCCAGCUACAUGGAAUGGCACACCAUGUGAACAUGAAGAGGAGUCCUGUGAAAGAUCGUCUUCUUACUGAAUUUGGUCAUCUGCUACAUGCUCUCCAUAGAGUGGAACGUCCACCAGCAUUUUCAAACUACAGCUUUGUGUCCCACCACAGCUCCCAGCUCUACUGACUCCAGAUCUGUGGGCUCAGAGCAGUAUUGUUGUCGAUGGAAAAAGUAGUCAAGAGAAACGCACACACAUGCACCCCAGGUGCUGAGCACUGAACACCAGGACUCACACAUCAAAAGUCGGUAAGCUCUCCCAUCUUCCACCGAGCUUCAGUUUUUCAGCCAUCUCUCCAACUCAUGUGAUGAUCAUUGGAAAAGCACAUACAUCAAAAGUUUGAAAAUAGACCCUGCUGAUCUUGAGCAACAGCAAGGUUCAGAAGACCCUCCAGAGGAUCUUCUGUCCUCAAGGACUUGAUAAGAGACUUCUCAUUGCAGAAAAACCAAGGACACCUGAUUGGGGGAAAAACAUACCUACAGAGCAGCAGAUUGAAGGAAUGGAGUUCUGUGCCUGUUACAGAGCACACACACCAGCAGUGCACAGAGGACAGGUGGACUGGAGCACACAAACCAUCGGUGCAUGCAGGGCAGCUGUGCACUGGAACAUACAGACCAGAGGUGCACGCAGGGCAGUACAACCUGUAACUUGUGGUUAAAAGAAUUCCACUGCUGUAAGGAUGAUGUGUUGCCCAGGAGGCUGUGGAACUGCAGGAGAAGACAACAGCGGAUGACCAGCUCCAUUGGAGGGAAACGUAUCCCGCUGGCAGUCGGGGGAGCACAUUCUAGAAGGAAUUGGAAGUCCUCAGAUGAUUGCCUGAGUCUUUUGAGUGUCAGACUUUAUUUAUUUUUUUAAAUACAAUUUUGAAAG